UCUGUUGUUUAUAGGCUGCCCUGUCUGUGGUGUUUUGUUGUAGCAGCCAAAACAGACUAAGACAAAUGGAUAGGAAAGAAAAGAGUAUUCCUUGGUGGGAAUGCAUUUUUUGAAGAAAGGCACAUAGAUAAUAGAUGUUCUAAGACCUACCAUAUGUAAAAUCUCUUUCUGCUGCUCAUAUACUUGAAUAACGGGCUGGCUCCCUAGGAAAUCCUUGAAUCACAACCUUUUCCCCCCAAAGCUGACUGCUGUAUUGUCCUUUGUUGAAACAGCUUUAUUGAGAUAUAAUGCUCAUAACGUGCAAUUCUCCUAUUUAAGGCAUACAAUUCAAUGGGUUUUGGUAUAUUCCAUUAUUAAUUUUUUGAAUUAUGUUAAAAUAAUAUAUAAUAAAAUUGCCAUUUUAGCCAUUUUUAAGUAUACAAUUUAGUGGUACUAAGUGCAUUCACAAUAUUGUACAACCUUCACCACUGUCUAUUUCCAAAACUUUUUCACCACCCGGUUACAACUGAAACUUUGUAACUGAAACAGUUACAACUGUUACAACUGAAGCUUUGUAACAGUUAAGCAGUAACUUCCCAUUCCUCCUUGGCCACCCCCCGGUAACCUAUAAUCUUUCUGUCUCUAUGAAUUUGACUACUCUAGGUACCUCAUAUUGGUUACGGAUUAUUUUCAUCGACACAGUGGUGUUUUUCUCACCAGCUAACUUCUAAGGAUUAUUCUUGAGAAGGGUUGAAAAGAAUUGCUUAUGUUUAAAUACAUGAGCAAAAAAAGCCAUUUAGAUGGUUAUUUCUUAUUGUUGCUCUGAUUAUCCAUCACUGAUCUCCCUCGUGAGCGGUCAUUCUUCUGAUGAUAACUGAGGAAUGGAAAAGUUUCCCAGGAGCUCACAGCCAUGCAAGAGGAUUUGAAAGUGUGCCUUGCUGGACACCCAAGCAUUUCUUCUGCCCAUCUGUUUUACCAACGAGGAAGUCUGCACUGCUGUGGAGACAACUUCAUCAAGACUUGAAAGCCCUGGGGAAUCCUUGGGUAGGGAUUCUCAUUGACAAAUCACAACCACCGCCAGCUCCCAGCUUAAAAAGAAUGAUGGUCUGUCAGUUGCUUAAUUAUUGAGUUAUUCAUUAAUGAAUCCAAAAGGGAAAAAAACUGUCUCUGUCUCUGGUGACUCCAUCUGAAAUAUGAAAAUGCCUCAGACAGGACAGUAUACCCAUUGCGGAGGCUCCUGGGUAUUUGAGAAUCUCAAGAGCACGGUUGGGCACACUCAGUACCUUCUUGUUGAGCAAUCCAGGGAAACUGGGUGAAUUUUUGUCAGUUUGGUAACAAUUAGCAACUUCUUCUUACGAGUUUCUGACUUUGUAUCAUUUAAAUUGGUUUCCGUUCACUUAAGGGUUGUAAAGAGCUCAUCUGCAGCUUACUUCAUGAACAUCCAGGAAUCAGGUAGACAGCAGGAAAGAACACCAAGCCAAAGGUCUGCAUCUGAAACUAAGUCACUGCCAAGCAUUUCUGUGUUGCCAACCAGAUGGCGCAGGAGCCUGGCCAUUCAUACUGUCCUGCUAUUAACCUUUCCAGUAAGAGCUUCUCUAAUUAUUCUAGACUUGUGAUUACUACUGACCCUUUCCUUUAUCUCCAAUCCAGGGGUUUUCAACUGAGGGUUAGGUGACUCCUCCAUGGAGCUUUUUAAAAAAAUACAAAUGUCCAAGUCCUUUUGUUUUUUCAAUUAUUUUAUUGAGGUCUUGUUGGUUUAUAACAUUGUGUAGUUUCAGGUGUACAUUAUUACUUAUCAGUUUCUGUAGAGACUGCAUCGUGCUCACCACCAUUAGUCUAAUUUUCAUCCGUCACCAUAUAUACGUGCCCCUUUAUCCCUUAUGUCCACUCCCCCACCCCUUCCCCUCGGGUAACCACUAUUCACUUCAUCCAUGUGUUUAUCUUCCACAUAUGAGUGAAAUCAGGCAGUGUUUGUCUUUCUCUGUCCGGCAUAAAGAUGUCAAGGUCUUAACCCAGACCUUCACAACUUGAAACUCUGGCCUUAGGGCUGGUUAUGCAUACAUUUUGAAAACACUUACUGGGGAUUCUGAUUCCUUCCUAAUCCAUUUAGUUUCCUGAUCCAUUCAUCUCUCACUUCUAAUUGGGUCCACCUGAGUUCUCCAUCUCACAUUUACCCUCCACCCAACAAGCCAGUCUUUAAUUCUUUAAGGGAGGCAAAUAAUAACUCAAAUGAGAGU